rnacentral:misc_RNA from 1 species
GCAAACUUGGUCAUUUAGAGGAAGUAAAAGUCGUAACAAGGUUUCCGUAGGUGAACCUGCGGAAGGAUCAUUACAGAGUUCAUGCCCCCCAAGGGGUAGAUCUCCCACCCUUGAAUAUUAUACCUUCGUUGCUUUGGUGGGCCGCUUAGGCUAUUGGCGAAAGCUAGUAAGUGCCCACCAGAGGAUCUUAUAUUCUAAAUUAUCGUGUUGUCCGAGCCUUUUAAAAUAGUUAAAACUUUCAACAACGGAUCUCUUGGUUCUGGCAUCGAUGAAGAACGCAGC